rnacentral:rRNA from 1 species
AAAGACUUAGUCCUAACCUUACUGUUAGUUUUUGCUAGGUAUAUACAUGCAAGUAUCCGCGCGCCAGUGUAGAUGCCCUGGACACCUUAAUCAGGUAGAUAGGAGCGGGUAUCAGGCUCACCAUAACCGUAGCCCAAGACGCCUCGCACUUGCCACGCCCCCACGGGUAUUCAGCAGUAGUUAAUAUUAAGCAAUGAGUGUAAACUUGACUUAGCCAUAGCAAAUUAGGGUUGGUAAAUCCUGUGCCAGCCACCGCGGUCAUACAGGAGACCCAAAUUAACAUUAUAACGGCGUAAAGAGUGGUCACAUGCUAUCCAAGUAACUAAGAUUAAAACGCAACUGAGCU